GAUGAAGAACGCAGCGAAAUGCGAUACGUAGUGUGAAUUGCAGAAUUCAGUGAAUCAUCGAAUCUUUGAACGCACAUUGCACCUCUCGGUAUUCCGGGAGGUAUGCCUGUUCGAGCGUCAUUUGUACCCUCAAGCUCUGCUUGGUGUUGGGUGUUUGUUCCGCCUCUGUGUGUGAACUCGCCUCAAAACAAUUGGCAGCCGGCGUACUUGUUUCGGAGCGCAGCACAUUUUGCGAUCCAGAUCAACGUACAGCGGCAUCCAAGAAGCCUUAUUUAACGCUCUUGACCUCGGAUCAGGUAGGGAUACCCGCUGAACUUAAGCAUAUCAACAAGCGGAGGA
rnacentral:misc_RNA from 1 species